rnacentral:rRNA from 1 species
GAUGAGCGCUGGCGGCGUGCCUAAUACAUGCAAGUCGAGCGAACGGACGAGAAGCUUGCUUCUCUGAUGUUAGCGGCGGACGGGUGAGUAACACGUGGAUAACCUACCUAUAAGACUGGGAUAACUUCGGGAAACCGGAGCUAAUACCGGAUAAUAUUUUGAACCGCAUGGUUCAAAAGUGAAAGACGGUCUUGCUGUCACUUAUAGAUGGAUCCGCGCUGCAUUAGCUAGUUGGUAAGGUAACGGCUUACCAAGGCAACGAUGCAUAGCCGACCUGAGAGGGUGAUCGGCCACACUGGAACUGAGACACGGUCCAGACUCCUACGGGAGGCAGCAGUAGGGAAUCUUACGCAAUGGGCGAAAGCCUGACGGAGCAACGCCGCGUGAGUGAUGAAGGUCUUCGGAUCGUAAAACUCUGUUAUUAGGGAAGAACAUAUGUGUAAGUAACUGUGCACAUCUUGACGGUACCUAAUCAGAAAGCCACGGCUAACUACGUG